rnacentral:lncRNA from 1 species
UGCCAUUGUGUUGUCCACCUCUGAUCAUCACUCUCGUCUCCAUCUCUUUCCUCCUUUAUUCACGUGUUCUUCUUCUCCCUCUUUAUGAAGCUGUGCGUUGUUGAGAUGCGAGACGCAAGCACCACCACCACGGUGAACCAUCUCACCUUAUCCCACCGGGGCCAUGCUUCAUCACCGGAGGAGCAGCCCAUGUCAUCACAGACCCGUUACCUGCCGUCACAUCCGUUGCGUUGUGGUUACGUACCGGAUCUGCGAGAUGGAGAGCAUGAGCCGAGAGGGAGAGAAAGGCGUUCGAGGCGGAGCCGCACGUUCCCCACCACCACCGGUCUUAGAUCUGUACCGCCGUGAUCCCUUGGUCACCGUAGUUGAUCCAUAUUGUCGGAGAGCCAGCAAUGCUACGUCGUUGACGUCUCGUAUCGGUUGGUGAUGUGGAGCACGUGAUCAAUUAUGAUAAGUUUCCUUAUUCCUAUUUUUCUUGUAUUACAAGUAACCGUUCUCAUCAUAAACCCUACAAUCAUAUAUAUUAAUUAUGCCUUUGUCUUGUAUUAUUUAUAUUCGAUUUGAUGUGUCUCGGUGAGGAGUGGAGAUCCAUGGCAAAACCGUAACUUUCUUGCUGAUAAAGUCAUUUCGUUUAUAGUCUCGCUUCUGGUUCUUAGUCAUUUGCUAAGGUGAGGGUCUAUUCCGUAAAUCCCAUACCAAUAUAGAAUUCUCUCUAUCGUAGUUUAGAUUUCGAAUCAUGAUCCGUCUGUUUGAACUGAGUCUUGAUUGUUAGUUAGUUCAUUCAUUGUAAACUAGAACUAGGGGUGUACAGGAUUCAACCUUUGAUUGGAUUGUGGGAUGUUAAGAGAUGCGAUAUAUAUAUGUAUGUAUACAUAGUUAUUAGUAGGGACUAUAUGCGCGGACGGGGGCUCAGAGAUGUCUGGGCUAGCGACGCUACUUUGAUUGUGCGGGCAGGGGUUCAGAGACGUUUGGACUUGCGAUGCUACUGGUGCAGGCGUGUGGUGCAGAGAUGUUUGUACCAUAGACGGUACUUGAGAGGGCGGGGGUACAGAGACAGACUGUACUAGCGAUAUAUAUCCAUAUGAGGAGAUGCGGGGUGUAUGGACUAGCUAUAUGCUAUCAUCGCAUUAUUUGGUUUGUGUGAUGCGCUAGGCGUCGUGUGUGUUCAUGUUAGAGCUAAACUUCCAUAGUGGGAGUUCUAUUUACUCAAGUUAGUGGUUUGUGUGUUUGGCAUCCCAUAACUCACUGAGUAACUCCCCUGUUACUCACCCCCCCCCCCUCUUCUUCCCCUUGCAGGUGAGCUUGUCGAGUGUUUGGAUAUCUGGACGGUUUGGUGUCUUGGGAAUAUUGUAUUUUAUUCGGUUUUAAUUAACUUUUCGAUUUUAUAUAUUUGGUUUUAAAUUAUAAACUAGUUUUACUUGGAAAUUAUUUGAUUAAAAGGUUUGACAUUUUAUUCGGUUUUAUAAAUCGGUUUAAUUCACUAUUUGUUUGGUUAGUAGCACGCUGUUCUCGAGAGAGGAGGAGACGGGUGUUACAAAUUUAUUCUUUUUUGGAUACAUGCAAGAUCAAACAUAAUUUUCGAUUUUCGAAAAGAAAUUUUGACAAAAAAAAAUUCAAAAAAAAUUAUAAAAAAGUUUGAAUUUGAAAAAGUAUAAUUCGAAAACAUUAAAAAAAUUAUUAUUUUUAUUUAAUAUAUAUAUAGAUAACAAGGGUAUAAGAAUCUUUUGCCACUUAAUGAAAAAGAUAUUUUUGAAAAUGUCUAUUUAGUGCUGGUAAGAUGAAAGUGGUACCAUGAAAGUGGUAAACAUAAAAUUUUCCCUAAGGAAAACCGUAUUGAUGCAACAAUUGACUGUUAUCUUUUACAACACUGAUUUUAGAAUUUUAUAAAAAAAUAUCAUGGCCAUAUUGAAUAUAUUGCAAAAAAGAGUUAUAACACUGCAACUAAAAACUUAUAAAUAAAACCUUAAUUAAAUAACAUAAUAUAAGAAAAACUAAAACUAAUAAAAUAUUACUCAAAAUUAUUGUAUUUUAGUUUUGAAAAAAUACAAAUGCCCGCGCAUGGGCGCAGGUGAGUCACCUAGUGAGUCACCUAGUAUUAUUAAAAAUUGAAUUACAAUUUUUGAAAUCCUCUUUAUUUUGGUAGUAUUUACAGGAGUGUCCUCCUAAAUUAAUGGUAACUAGAUGUUUGCAGGUAGUUUUAUAUUAUAUAAAUAAAUAUAUAUUAUCUUUACACUGUUAUAAUUUUUGAAUAAUAAUUAGAAAUUUAAAAUUUUAAUUUUUAGUUUCAAAUAUUUGGAUAAUCAAAAAUUCCAGUAUAUAUUUUUAGAAGAUAUGUGAAAUUUCAAAUAGUUUAAAACAUAAACCUUAGUCAUUAAAAAUCUUUAUUUUACAGAAAAGAAUAUUAUAAUUAAUUGAGAUAACUAGUUUAGAAUUACUUUAUAUUUUAGUUUAAUACAUGAAAAACUAAAAAUAGUCUAGCUCUCAAGAGAGAAAAAAAAAGGGUUUUUUUUUUUGUGUAAAUCUAAUAUGUCCAAUACAAUGACAAGAUGCUUUUUUCAUGAAAGAUCUUUUGUAAACUGUUUUGUGUGGGCUUUAAGAACAUAAAAGUUAUAAUAAUUUCUUACCUACAAAUAUAAUUCUUUUACAUAAUAAUACAUAACCAUUAAAUUUAUUUCUAUAACAAUCCUAAAGUAUUUUAUUUAAUUAUAUAUAACUAAUUGAUAAAAAUAAAGAAAUUGAUAAAACAUAUAUACUAUUUCUCUAAUUCUACAAUUAGUUAUCAUAAAUCAUUAUUUAUAAUAUCAUUUGUGUUAUUUGGUAAUCUGUAUUAAUUAGUUAUAUAAUUACCUUUUAUUUUUAUAUGUCAUUAAAAUAAUAACUAAUAAAUGUUAACAACCAAUAAAAUUAUAACUAUUUUUUAAAACUUAACCUAUUAAAGAUACAUAAUCAAAAGUCAAUUAAAUGGCUUCUCAACUAAUAUAUAGUAGAAUUUAUCUGUUUAAAACUAAGAAUAAAUUUGGUUAUGGUAAACAUAAAAACAUGUAUUAGAAAAAUAGUAGUUUAAACCAUUUUUCUCAUAAUUGUUUUCCAAAUCACACUUUCUCACUCAUUUUUUAAAUUUAGUGUUUAGCAUAAAACUCAAAUGGGUUAAGAAAACAAAUUCUUCCUUAAAUUAUCUCUGAUCAUCACACUAUUUUAUCAAACACUAACUCAUUAAACCAAAGGUUUUUAAUUAAAACUAAUCAUAGUUUACAUAGCUUUUAAAAUUAUUAUUUUUAAUUUAUUUUAAAUUAAAUUAAAACAUACCUAUAUUAAUUAAAUCUGAUUAACUAAUAAGAAAAAUAAUAUUUCAAUUUUUAAAUAACCAAUGUGGUUAUUUUAGGCAUAUAUACUUAAUAUUAAUGUGAGAUCUAAUAUUAUAAGAAAUAAAAUGUUUUUAUUUGUAUAAAUUUUAUAAAACAUUUAUUAUCAUACAUUUUAAAAUUUUACUAUAGCGUAAAAAUACAUCUCAUUAAGUUUUAAAUAAUUUUUUCUUACUUUCAAUUUACAUUAUAUUUUCCAUCUUUGACUUUAACAAUUGUAGAGAUGGUCAUUUUUAUUGAACUUCUUUACUAAAUUUAUCUUAACAUUUUUAAAACACAUAAAACUAAUUAGUUCACAUUUAUAGUAACCCAAAAAAGUACAUGUACCUCGACAAACCAAUAAAAAUUAAAUACAUAAGCAUAUAAAAUACCAAGAACACAACAAACAUAUUUUAUUAUGCUUCCCUCUUGUUCUUUUUAUUUAUAUAUGUUUUUUUCCUAUCAAAAAUAAGCAUGCUAAUUUUAUUAUAAUUCAGGCUAUAUGAAUUAUAUUAAUAGAGUGUUAACUAUAGAAAAAUUUAAACCGAUAGUGGUUUAAUUCAAAUUAUAAUUAAUUAUCUAUAAAACCAAAAGCUAACCAUUUUAAUUCCUAACCCUAACCGUAUAUUCUUGUACACGUAUUUAUAUAUGCUGUACUCUUCGUUAAAAAGCCAGCCACCAUUAUUUUAGAUCGAGCCAGAGCUGAUGCCAUUGUGUUGUCCACCUCUGAUCAUCACUCUCGUCUCCAUCUCUUUCCUCCUUUAUUCACGUGUUCUUCUUCUCCCUCUUUAUGAAGCUGUGCGUUGUUGAGAUGCGAGACGCAAGCACCACCACCACGGUGAACCAUCUCACCUUAUCCCACCGGGGCCAUGCUUCAUCACCGGAGGAGCAGCCCAUGUCAUCACAGACCCGUUACCUGCCGUCACAUCCGUUGCGUUGUGGUUACGUACCGGAUCUGCGAGAUGGAGAGCAUGAGCCGAGAGGGAGAGAAAGGCGUUCGAGGCGGAGCCGCACGUUCCCCACCACCACCGGUCUUAGAUCUGUACCGCCGUGAUCCCUUGGUCACCGUAGUUGAUCCAUAUUGUCGGAGAGCCAGCAAUGCUACGUCGUUGACGUCUCGUAUCGGUUGGUGAUGUGGAGCACGUGAUCAAUUAUGAUAAGUUUCCUUAUUCCUAUUUUUCUUGUAUUACAAGUAACCGUUCUCAUCAUAAACCCUACAAUCAUAUAUAUUAAUUAUGCCUUUGUCUUGUAUUAUUUAUAUUCGAUUUGAUGUGUCUCGGUGAGGAGUGGAGAUCCAUGGC